rnacentral:rRNA from 1 species
AACGAACGCUGGCGGCAGGCUUAACACAUGCAAGUCGAGCGCCCCGCAAGGGGAGCGGCAGACGGGUGAGUAACGCGUGGGAAUCUACCCAUCUCUACGAAACAACUCCGGGAAACUGGAGCUAAUACCGUAUACGUCCUUCGGGAGAAAGAUUUAUCGGAGAUGGAUGAGCCCGCGUUGGAUUAGCUAGUUGGUGGGGUAAUGGCCUACCAAGGCGACGAUCCAUAGCUGGUCGGAGAGGAUGAUCAGCCACACUGGGACUGAGACACGGCCCAGACUCCUACGGGAGGCAGCAGUGGGGAAUAUUGGACAAUGGGCGAAAGCCUGAUCCAGCCAUGCCGCGUGAGUGAUGAAGGCCUUAGGGUUGUAAAGCUCUUUCGCAGGUGAAGAUAAUGACGGUAACCUGAGAAGAAGCCCCGGCUAACUUCGUGCCAGCCGCCGCGGUAAAAC